AUGAACCUCAUAAUGAUGUUUUUGGUUUUGAGCAUCUGUUAUACAGGUGUUGAUGCACAGACUUUGACAGAAUCUGAAGCAGCGGUCAAAAGGCCAGGAGAAUCCCACACUCUUACCUGUACAGGCUCUGGGUUCACAUUCAGCAGCCACUUGAUGGGCUGGGUCAGACAAUCUGCUGGAGAAGGCCUGGAGUGGGUUUCUACCAUUGAUGUUACCAGCAAAUACUACGCUCAGUCAGUUCAAGGACGGUUCACCAUCUCCAGAGACAACAGCAGAGAGCAGGUGUAUCUGCAGAUGAACAGUCUGAGAGCUGAGGAUUCUGCUGUUUAUUACUGUGUGCGGCACGCACAGUGA